AUGUCAUUGUGCCUAUCCUCAAGGAUGAUGGAUCCUACUUGCUCUGUGGAUACUGGGCAGAUGAGCCUGAAGCACCAGUCCAGGCCUGGGCUGGGGCUCUGCACCCUACAGCCCAGCAGCCCAUCUGCUGUGCGGAGGCCAUUGUGGUGGAAGAGCCCUCAUCACAAGAGGAGGAAGGGAAGGUGGCACGUGCAGACCAGGCUGAGGCUAAUCAGAGGUAAAUCUACAGAUGGGUUGAGGGUGUUUUACUCUGGACAUCUGGCAUGGCAGACACGGGAGGAGAGAAAGGGACCCAUGAGCCAUUUUUCCCAUUCAAAUCGCAUCCUACAGACUGUGGACCAUGUCUUGAAAGCCCCAUGUGCUGAGGCAGGUCACAAACACUGUGCAGGUCACCAACUACAUAUCCUCUUUGGAACCUACAUAAGUUUUCCUGGGGUCCAGUCAUGCCGAGGUCAUUCCUCAUGCCACACUUUUAUGUCACCUCCAUAAAAAGUGUUUGGCAGCUCCCUCAGCCCCUCUGCUUGUGCUUCAUCCACAUCCCUGCAGUACAACAAUAAAGACAGGGAUGUCCAAUGCA
ensembl:lncRNA